GGUGUGUUGGCAGGUACCUGUAAUCCCAGCUACUCGGGAGGCUGAAGCAGGAGAAUUGCUUGAACCCAGGAGUCAGAGGCUGCCGUGAGCUGAGACUCUGCCACAUUGUGCCACUAACCUCCAGCCUGGGUAGCAGAGCGAGAUGCUGUCUCAAAAAAUAAAAUAAAACAAUAAUAUAAAAAACAUUCUUAGUUAAUGGCCAUACAAAAUAGGUUGGGGGAUUGAUUUGCUUGUCAUAAUUGGCCGAUCCCUUGUCUAAACUAAUGAGCUGAACUUCCAUGGACAUAAGUUAAUGAUACAUUCCCAAGUUCAGAGCAGCUAACACACAUCUGUGGUCUUUUCCCCCAAUAUCUUAGUUGCUUCCUUGACGUAAUUACUGACAGAAGUGUCCCUUCAGGACCUUGCCUACCUCAGGUAGAAGCUUUUUCUAUUCUUAUUUUCCAUGUGCUUCAGGAGCAGGAGAUUAGGGCAAGACAUUAUGGGAAGGCUGCACCUUUGCAUUAUACUGUCUCUAUAAGCACAGUUGACCCUCCAUAUCUAAGGGUUCCACAUCCUUGGAUCCAACCAACCACAGAUGACAAAUAUUCUAGUAAAAAAAAAUGAUGUACUGAACAUGCAGACAUUUUUCUUGUCAUUAUUCUUUAAAAAAUAUAUUAUCAUGACUAUUUACAUAGUAUUAGGUACUAUAAGAUACUCAGAAAUGAUUUUAAGUAUACAGGAGGAUAUAUAUAGGUUAUAUGCAAAUACUACACCAUUUUUAUAUCAGGGACUGAGUGUCCAUGAAUUUUGGUAUACGAAGGAGGUCCUGGGACCAGUCCUCCACACAUACUGAGGGACAACUGUAAUAACAGCCUUACUAGGGCUUAUUUCUCUACUGGCCGAAUAUAUCAGCCUUGCUUGACAUUUCCCAUUCAGGACUUUGGUACUUACCAUUCCCUCUGCCUGCGUUGCCAUUCCCCUGAGCUUUUGCAAGACCAACAAUAACUGAGUGUUCUUUCUUCCUUUAGGUUUGAGCUUAAAAGUGUCCUCUUUAUGUAAAGCAUCUCUACCGUGACACCCUUGCUUCUCUUGGUAAUCUCUAUCACAGCACCCAGUUUAGGAUCAUUGCACACAUAAUGACAGUGAUUAAUGAUCUAGGAGUGUUUGCCAUAAAUUCUGGUGAUGAGGGAGGGUGAUAAGUUCAGAUUUCCAGUUUGGUCAGAAUAGUUAGCAGCCUGGUAGAAAGCCCUGUAGGUCCUUAGAAGGUGGACAUUUGGAAUGGGCUUUGUUUUUGCUAUCACCAAACCUCUUAGAUUCCAGUAUCUUGCUUUUAAUGUUUAUUAUCCAUGCAAUUUUCUGAAUCCACUAUUAUCUCUGAAUAGAAAAAUGCCGUUAUAGUCUUAUUUUUCUAUAUCCAAGCCUUAUUCUUGAGAAAAUCUUUCUUUAGAUUACGUUGUGAUUUCUCUUAAACAUUUUUUUUAAGGCAGGUUUGAAAGUCCACAUAGUUUAUUUCCAUUGGUUUCCCUCUGUUAGCGUAUUUAUUCCUUUGUACAAUGUCAUUAGUUAGUCAGUGUAGGUUUGCUUUAAAAUAUGUUCAGACCCUUGUAAAAUCUUAAAUAAAAAAUUUAUGUCUAUUGUGUACGUUGCAAAUACAAAUAUCAGUAUGUUAGGCAAAAAGUAUAGAAAACACAACCAAGGUUUGCGUCACUUGUUUAAUAUACAAAGUCUUUCACAGAUUAUUAUUUUCUUUUUCUUAAUUUGCUUUAGUACACUUGAUUCACAAAACAGUAAGUUGUUAAUGUAAGAGAAUUAUGUAAAACCAAAAUAGUACAAAUGCCUAAUUUCAAAAACUGCACACAGUUAAAAUAAUUUUCCCUUCUUUGUUUUAAUGCAGUAUCCAGUUUGAAAAUGGGCUUUCUUUAGAUGUAGAGGAAACACAGCAGCCCAAAAUAACAGUAAUUCCUGUCAACUGUGUUGAUAUGUAAAAUAGCACCAUUGGGCUGAGUCAGGAAAGAAAAAAGGUUUUCAUCUUUCUUAAUUAAAGUAUUAUAUAACAACUAUAAUAAUGAUGAUACUAAUAACUUUUAAGAGCUCUACUCUGUUUCAGAAUAUUCAUUUUCAAGGCAAGGAAGGGUAAACUAUGGGGCAGAUGGAAGAAUCUUUCCACCUGAUCCCCAGCACCCUUAGAAUUUCCCUUAAUGGUGUCAUUGCUCUAAUGAGCUAAUUUUCCUGUCAAAGAAUAGAUGUUUUAAAGGGUACCCAAGGAUUUUUCGUAAAACAAGAUAAAAUAUAACUGAGAUCUCCUCUCUGGGACCAUAAUCACGUACAGAAGCAGCGCAGUGAGAUUUAAUGCUGGGGUGUUUUGAAAAACUCAUUCAGUCUAUACCUAUCUUCCUUCAGUUUACAUGUUGCUGUAUCUCAGGUUGUUGGGCUCACUUUAGAUUUUUUCAUUUUUAUUUUGUUUUCAUACUUAAGCUUAAUUGCUUUUUGGGCUUCAGUUUUU